CCAGGGAUCUUUGUGAGGUGGCAGCUAGAGGAGAGAGGAAGGUGAAAGGGAGACAGAUUAGACAGAGAGGGAGCACUUUGAGGGGACCGAGGUGGAGGACGCCAUGAAAGAAGGUGUGAUGGGCAGAUGCUAUGAGGGGCAAGCUCAGCUUCCAGGGACAGUGGGAAGCGCUAACCGCAAAGCUUGCCUUCACCCACUUUCCUUGGGCUAGACCUUUCACAACUCUGCCUGAAACCUGUUCUGCUUGAGCCCAACACCAAAUCUGCCAGGCUCUUUCUGUCACUGGGCCUUACAAGUUGCUUAGAAGCUCUCAGAUACCAUUGAGAUGCAGAAGCUGGUUUGAGUGGGUGAGGAACACCCGUGUGUGUACUUGUGAGUAGGUGGGAAAGGGGUGUCCCUGCCCGGGGUUGCUGGCAGUCAUGAGGAUGAGUAAUGGGGAUAUGGAAUAUCUGUCCCCACAUCAGACAGUCAUGGCCUGGUUCCACCUCCCAAAUUGUUGCUGUGGUUUAGAUAUGGUUUGUCCCCAGGAAAACUUACACUCAGGCUUGGUCCCAAAAGUGGAACCUUCAGGAGACGAUUGGGUCAUCAAGGAGGAUUACAGCCCUGGAAGGAGUUCUCUCAGAAGAUCAGUUACCACAAGAGCUACUUGGUGUGAAGCAGCAGUGUCCUUGGUGUGUAGCCUCGUCCGUGUGUGACCACUUGCCCUUUCACUGUCUACCAUGAGUUGAAGCACCAAGCCUUUGCCAGAAAUGAAGAAGGCAGUGCCAGGGACAUUCUCUUGAGAUUUCUAGCCUGGCAAUCAUGAGUACACAUUGACCCAGGCUCAAGUGUUCUGUGACAGUGGCAGAGACAGAUCAAGAUAAAUACUCAGAGUGGCCCCACGUCUUUUCACCCUCCUCCAGUUUCAGGUGCUCCUUCCCUCCUCCUCCCCAGAUAACUAACACCAAUAUAGUGGUGGUUCACCCUCAUAAGUGAACCUGACUGGAGCCUCCAAGGAGGCAUGCCUGUAAGGAAUCCCUAGCCAGGUUUGAUGAGGAGCCUUGAAUGUGGACACUGG
rnacentral:lncRNA from 1 species